rnacentral:rRNA from 1 species
AGUGAACGCCGGCGGUAGGCCUAACACAUGCAAGUCGAACGGCAGCACAGUAAGAGCUUGCUCUUACGGGUGGCGAGUGGCGGACGGGUGAGGAAUACAUCGGAAUCUACUUUUUCGUGGGGGAUAACGUAGGGAAACUUACGCUAAUACCGCAUACGACCUACGGGUGAAAACAGGGGAUCUUCGGACCUUGCGCGAUUGAAUGAGCCGAUGUCGGAUUAGCUAGUUGGCGGGGUAAAGGCCCACCAAGGCGACGAUCCGUAGCUGGUCUGAGAGGAUGAUCAGCCACACUGGAACUGAGACACGGUCCAGACUCCUACGGGAGGCAGCAGUGGGGAAUAUUGGACAAUGGGCGCAAGCCUGAUCCAGCCAUACCGCGUGGGUAAAGAAGGCCUUCGGGUUGUAAAGCCCUUUUGUUGGGAAAGAAAAGCAGCAGGUUAAUACCCCGCUGUUCUGACGGUACCCAAAGAAUAAGCACCGGCUAACUUCGUG